rnacentral:tmRNA from 1 species
GGGGGCGUUCCAGAUUCGAUUGGGCGUUUUUAGUAAAGGUAUAAGCAUACCGAAGGCUCGGCUUCGUAAAAACGGAAAAUUAAAUUUAAAUGCUAACAAUAACGAAUUAGCAUUCGCUGCUUAAAUUUAAGCGAACGUUCCUCUUUUUCUCGCCCGUUGGGAAAAGAAUGAGCGUCAAUUAGACGGGGUACUGCUAUUCGGGUUUGAUUUUGCCCGUUUAGCGGAACUUAAAAAUCAAAGGAUAAUCAAUGGUCGCCGAUGACCAAGAUUAUCACGAAAAUCAAUCGUCGGAUAAGUAUGUAGAAAAUUUUUGCUGGGCGUUCAAGACCGGAGUGCAAGUCUCCGCGCCUCCACCA